UCCAUGGGGCGUCUCCAGUUGACACUUAGGGCAAAGGUGCAUGAGAGUCGUCUGUCACGUCCCGUCUAAUUCCAGCUAUGAGGGCUUUUAUCGGCUCCACCCGAGAUUGAAAGUGACUGUCCCUUCCCAGCUCUCUCAGAUGGAGGGACAGAGGGAGCAGGCGGCUGACCGGCCAUCUGUGAGGGGUCAGGGCAUAAAUGCCAGUAUUGUUUCCUAAGUAAGAACAGACGGAUUGGAAUGUCAAGGCCAAGCAAGAAGAGAUGAGAUCUGCCCUUUGAGGUCCUCUUCAGGCCAGACCCAGGACAGAUGGCAAACUGUCGCCGCUCGAUAUAGAAUGAGGCCAAGUCGAAGUUCAGGUUGAGAGGCUGUAGUUCAAGUUUCCAUGCAGCUGUCGGGAAAAUGAGCUCCCCUGAUGAACGGCCUCCCCCAGCUACUCAGAUUCCCUUUUCUUUUCUGAAAACAGCGUUUGUGUCUGACGGCUCUUUUGAUCUUGGAAGUGCUGUUCAGUUGCGGGAUUUAAGAUGUUCUGGGCACCCAGACAGCAUGCCUCUUUUAUCAGGGUGCUGAUAUUAGACAUGGGAGACAGGUCAGGGGUGCGGCGGACAGAGCCCAGUCCUGAGCGAGACUCUGAUCUCCGUAGCGCGGUACCUCUGUGAUCUUAGUGUUUCUGAAUCCCAGGCUUCUUCCCUGUGCACUGGGGUCAAACCCCAGACCCAAGAGUGUUUGUGAGAGUGAACGUGAGCAUGUGACUGUCCUGCAUAGUAAGCGCUCAUUUAAUGCUAAUUCCUCCUCCCUUCGGCUUCCCUCCAGAGAGUGAUGUGUUCAUUGCUUUGCUUGCUUAUUUAACAGGCAUUUAUUGAGUGCCUACUGUGUGUCCAGACCUUUCUGGGGUGCUGUGGCUACAGGAACACACCGGUGAACAAGACCCCCCCAUGCGGGAGGCGGGCAAGGGACCAAAUGAAGAUUCUUUCAGUGGUGGCCUCGCUGUGUCUGGGACCUUUUCCUCUGAGGUCUUGAUUUCCCUGCCUACUGAGUCUGAUGCUCUCUCAUAUGCAGGAUUCCUCCAUAACAGAGCCCCUCCCCAGUCCUUCCUGGGAUAGCUUUCCAAUUUUUAAAAAAGUAUUUAUUUAUUUGGCUGCACCGGGUCUCAGUUGUGGGACACCAGAUCUUCGUUGUGGCGUGUGGGAUCUAGUUCCCUGACCAGGGAUUGAACCCCGGCCCCCUGCAUUGGGUUCACAGAGUUGUAGCCACUAAACAGCCAGGGAAGUCCCUCGUUUCUGAUUUUUUAACAGGAGACCUGAUUGCAGUUCUCUUCACCUCCAUCAAGAAGGCUCCUUUUUCCCUUCCUACACCUGUUCCAAAUUUCAAUUACACAAAAUAUCUUUCACGCACGGUUCAGCCAGAUUCCUCAAGAGGAGGAGGGGAAAGGGGUGCUGUAAGUAUUCAUAAUGUGUUUGCAUUAUGGAAUAAUUACACAUAAUUGCUCUGCCUUGUAAAUAAGUAUAAAACAUUUACCAGUCUCUACAGUGGGAGAAGCCGUGGGGCUGCCAUCUCCCACGGAAGUCGCCCCUGGUGGAAACACGCGCCGGCAACUGGCAAUCUUUCCAGCCCACAGGCACAUGUGUCAUUCGCAUCAGCGAGGAAGGAAUGCUGUGCAGAAGAAGCAGCAGAAGGAAAAGUGAGCCCACAUGGGGAGGCCACCAUGCCAAGGACAGAGUUGCUAAUGCUACACGAAACACGUCUGGACCUAGUUGGUCUGGGGGCCAGAAGUCCUAAAUGAAGGUGUCAUCAAGGCCAUGUCACCUGCAACGGCUCUCGGGGAUCAUCUUCCUCAUCUCUUCCAGUGAAUGGGGCUCCUGGGGAUCCUCGGCUUGUGGCAGCACCUCUCCAGUCUCUGUCUGCACGUCACCCAUCUUCCCCAGGCCUCUCUGGGCCUUCAGUCUCCUGAUUUCCUGUUAUAAGGACACCAGUCAUGGAAGUAGUGCCCACCCUAACUGCAGGAUGCUCUUGUAUGGAGAUUCUCAACAUAAUUCCAUCUGUGAAAGCUCCUAACUCAUUUUUAGUAAUU